UACGUAGGGUGCGAGCGUUGUCCGGAAUUAUUGGGCGUAAAGAGCUCGUAGGCGGUUCGAUAAGUCGGGUGUGAAACCUCCAGGCUCAACCUGGAGACGCCACCCGAUACUGUCGUGACUAGAGUCCAGUAGGGGAGCGUGGAAUUCCUGGUGUAGCGGUGAAAUGCGCAGAUAUCAGGAGGAACACCAGCGGCGAAGGCGGCGCUCUGGGCUGGCACUGACGCUGAGGAGCGAAAGCGUGGGGAGCGAACAGG
rnacentral:rRNA from 1 species